rnacentral:lncRNA from 1 species
UUCUGGGAUUCUAUUUACCACUUAGAUUGAAAAUCCAGAAUUUAGUCCUAAUUUCACCCUCACUUUUAUCCCCUAUAUUCAAUCUGUCAUCAUGUCUAUGGCUUCUUCCUUUGGAACAUUCUUGAUUGAUAUUUUCUUUUCAUGUCACUAAAAUCCAUCUUCUGUAAACAGCACUGGGUUCCGUGACUGAUCAGCUUCUCACUGGUUUCCCCACCUCUGUUUUCUUCCUGUUAUCAUCAGCCUAUUAUAAUCUGCAUAAACUCUCAGAUUAUGUUUCCUCAGACUUCCCUUUCCUAUUUUCGCCUCUCUUCUCAAGACCCUGGAAUGGCUCCCCACUCACUACUCUUGUUUAGGUUCCAACAGGACUACUUCAAGUUCUGUGGCCAAGUUUCUUGAAUUCUUGUCUCCUCUUUCUUACAUCUUACACUGUCCAUUCGCUGGCUUGUGGGCAGUGGGCUCUGCAAUUCUUUUCUAAGGGAGUUGUUUGGAAGUUGUCAUUACUUUUUAAUACAGAAACAGUUCUAUAAAAGCUACAGUUGAGUUCUUAAGCUAUAACUCAAGGCCUGUAUAACCUAAUGUGGCUGAUUUCUGAGCCCUGGAAGCCAGGAGCCAUGUGGAAUAGGUGGAGGCAGGGGAAGAAUGGAUGUUUUCUUCUUCUUUUCUAAGUACAGGGUCAUCCAGACUAGGCAGAACUUCUAGUAGUUUUUAAUAUGAAAGGUUGGUCUUCAGCAUUUGUUUUCUGUUCACUGCCUUCCAAAUCCUGGUGUUCCUCUCCCCAGGCUCUUAGGAAUAAGUAGUUACCCUAGACUAAAUAAUGCAUUAAUUAAUUCAGUAGUUAUAAUGUUUACCUACUAAAAUAACCAUGGCUACUUUCUAUUGAACACUUUCACCCACAGUAUUUCAGUCCUUACAACAACCUUGCAUGGUACAUUAAAAUUACUUCCAUUUAAUAGAUAAAUAAAUUAAGGCAGGGUGAAGUUUAAAUAUAUAUAGCUAUUGAUUUAUGUACUGAUUUACAAAUAACCUGUAUAUAUUUGAAGGUCACUUAGGAAAAGUUUGUAUCAUAUAUGAGAGUUUGUUAAAGGAAUAUGUAGAAAACCUCCAUCCCUUCCCCACUUCAUCUCCUCCCCUGACACACAAGCACCUCUGAGACACUGUUCUGCUUUUGAAGACUAUACAGCUUCAGGGUAGAAGAAAAGAAGCAAAAAGAGAUAUAAAGUAUUGGCUGGGCCUGGUGGCUCAAGCUUGUAAUCCCAGCACUUUGGGAGGCCGAGACGGGCGGAUCACGAGAUCAGGAGAUCGAGACCAUCCUGGCUAACACGGUGAAACCCCGUUCCUACUAAAAACUACAAAAAACUAGCUGGGCGAGGUGGCGGGCGCCUGUAGUCCCAGCUACUCGGGAGGCUGAGGCAGGAGAAUGGCGUAAACCCGGGAGGCGGAGCUUGCAGUGAGCUGACAUCCAGCCACUGCACUCGAGCCUGGGCGACAGAGCGAGACUCCGUCUCAAAAAAAAAAAAAAAAAA